ensembl:lncRNA
CGCCUCGUGGCGAAAGCCACCCUCUGCUGGAGAAGCCGGGCUGGUGGUUUAAUUGUGGUUAACGUGAACUCCCAUCAAAGAGACAAAACGCGAACGGCAUUACCUAAUCUUGUACACCUCGGGAGCACUACGAGAGCCCGUGCAGCCCCUAAUAACCAUCCCUGGCCGGUUCCCGUGGCGAAGAGCCGUCAGAUUGGGCUCAUCCUGGAUCUCUACGGAGCCUGGCAUCGCUUCUGAUGCCUGUCGCUUCCCGUGGGAGAGGGGAGUCUUUCUUCGACGUGAAAAGCAACAAUUGGCAAUAUGCAAAUCCAGCCCUCAGAACCUCAGAGGCAGGACCAAGCUGAAUGUUGUGAUCCAAGCAAAGAUGGUUUCCUUGACAAAAACUGACUUCAACUUAGCCACAAUCCGAAGUGCUGACGAACACGGGUGUUUCUGCCACCUGCAGGCUGUGACACUCCAGGAUUUACAGCUGAUUUCACAAACUCAGCCUUAAGGACCACAGUGGGGAAGCCUUUAGUUAACAAUGGCAUGGCUGAUGGUCCAGAUUCUCUUAUUUCCCAGGUGACCCAAGUCCACAACACAGAAUCUGCUAUGCUUGGUGUCUGUAAGACUCAAAGGCCCGAGGAAUAGAUUUCCUCAUUUCGCCAAACCCACAUUUGACCUGUAUCUUGGAUAGCAUCGACCAUUUAUUGGCCUCUUGCUAGCCUCAAAGGAUCCAGCCAUUUUCGAGUUCACAAAGAAUCACUACCCUUGGACAGCUUGUGAUGUGAUUGGCCAGGCAAAGCCCCUGUACUAAAGCACAACCAAGACAAGUCUACCUGAAAGGUUCCCAUGGCUCCCUCAUCAGUGGGUACAAACAAGGUCACGUCAGUAUUAAUGGCCAGGUUUUGAUUACUCAAGAGUCCCCACCAACCACUGUGGAAAUCAGUAUGGAGAUAUCUCAAAGAACUAGGACUGGAAGUCCCAUUUGACCCAGCUAUUCCCCUGCUGGGUAUCUUCCCCAAAGAAUUAAAAGAACCAUACCACAGUGAUAUAUGUGCACCCAUGUUCAUAGCAGCAUAGUUUUUAAGAGCUAAAACUUGGAAAUAGCCGACAUGCGCAUCAACUGGAGACUGGAUAAAGAAGUGGUUUUUUUGUAUAAAAUGGAGUACUACUCAGCCAUAAAGAGGGUCCUGCAGGGAGGAGGUCAGAGGCAGAGACUUCUCCAACCCCUCUGAGCCACAGCUAACCACCUCCACGGAACCAUUUCUAUGUCUGCUGGAUGGAUGGAUGCACGCAUGCAGGGGGAAGCUCUGCUCUGCUCUGCUCUGCUCCUGCUCCUGCUCCUGCACCUGCUCCUGCUCCUGCUCCUGCUCCUGCUCCUGCUCCUGCUCCUGCUCCUGUUCCUGUUCCUGCUCCUGCUCCUGUUCCUGCUCCUGCUCCUGCUCGGCUCUGCUCUGCUCUGCUCUCUUGGGGAAAAGCCAAGAGAGGCAGUAGUUGAACUCAAUCCAGGACCUGAAAGCAUUCUGCAAGGGGAGUUGUCUUUGUUCUCCUGCAAGGUUUCCAGUGGAGAUAAAUGCGUUCCACAUGGCCCAGGAGGAGAAGGCUUCUUUCCACUUGCUUUUGAUCCUUCGACACUGCAGCGUGUAAACACUUAUCAUUCCAGAGUCUUCCAGAACCACAGGUCCUUCCCUGACCUCCCACCCUACCGGAGUGGCAUGACCGUGUCCCACACCACCCUGUAGCCGCCACCACCCAAGUGGAGAGCCAUGGUCAUGAGCCCCAUGGAACUGUCCUUGCCAGAAAGGACCCAAAGCAUAGGUUGCCCGGUGGCCUUUGCCUGUGGCCAGGCAGGCUUCAUGCCUAAACGCAGUCUUCCCUGUGGGCCCAGUUUCACUGUUCCUCCUUGACAGGCCAACUACCAGAUGAAGUCAGAUGAAAAAGGGGACGCGCCCUCACGGCCCCUGCUGGAGACUUCAGCUGUCACAGUCUCUCUGCAGGAAAACUGUACGUGAGUAAAUAAACGCAAAAGGAAACACUCUCACGUCCAGGAAUCUACCCCUAGGAAGUAAGUGAAAUGAUUUACACAUAAGAUGCUUCCUACAUCAUUUUAAAAAGUUUUUAAGGGGCCGGGGAUUUAGCUCAGUGGUUUCGCCACCUACUGCACAAGCACAAGGACCCAAGUUCGACCCCCAGUACCAAAAAAAUAAAGUUUUUAAAAAGGCAAGGCGGGGAACAACCUAAGUAAUUAAGGAUAGGGGAGUAAAUGGCUUCCUGCACUUUGACAACUGUGACAUAAGCCUACCAAAACUCAUAUUGGAGUAUAUGCCCUAAUAAAAAAUGAUAAAUAUUUAUUUUUAUAAAUUGCACCUGGGUACUAUUGAGCCAAAAUAUUAUGUGCAUGAUCAAAUACACAUUAUGGUCACUGUAAACAGUGUUUUAAAUUUAUUUUAUUCAUUUAUACUACAAAAAUAUUUUGGUAUAGAGAAAUGCAAUUUUUGAUAUGUUCUAUUAUUUGUGUAACUUUUAGGUCAACACUUUAUGAUACAAUUGAAGAUUCAGUGUAUUUUUAUACUAGGUUUUGAUAGUUACCAUAAUUGAAAACAUUCUUUUAUGAUGACACAGAUAAAAUAGUAUAAAAGCAAUAAUUGACCAUAU